rnacentral:rRNA from 1 species
GGGAACUGCGUUNUGAACUGGGUGACUAGAGUGUGUCAGAGGGAGGUAGAAUNCCACGUGUAGCAGUGAAAUGCGUAGAGAUGUGGAGGAAUACCGAUGGCGAAGGCAGCCUCCUGGGAUAACACUGACGUUCAUGCCCGAAAGCGUGGGUAGCAAACAGGAUUAGAUACCCUGGUAGUNCACGCCCUAAACGAUGUCGAUUAGCUGUUGGGCAGCAUGACUGCUUAGUAGCGAAGCUAACGCGUGAAAUCGACCGCCUGGGGAGUACGGUCGCAAGAUUAAAACUCAAAGGAAUUGACGGGGACCCGCACAAGCGGUGGAUGAUGUGGAUUAAUUCGAUGCAACGCGAAGAACCUUACCUGGUCUUGACAUGUACGGAACCCUCCAGAGACGGAGGGGUGCCUUCGGGAGCCGUAACACAGGUGCUGCAUGGCUGUCGUCAGCUCGUGUCGUGAGAUGUUGGGUUAAGUCCCGCAACGAGCGCAACCCUUGUCAUUAGUUGCCAUCAUUAAGUUGGGCACUCUAAUGAGACUGCCGGUGACAAGCCGGAGGAAGGUGGGGAUGACGUCAAGUCCUCAUGGCCCUUAUGACCAGGGCUUCACACGUCAUACAAUGGUCGGUACAGAGGGUAGCCAAGCCGCGAGGUGGAGCCAAUCUCACAAAACCGAUCGUAGUCCGGAUUGCACUCUGCAACUCGAGUGCAUGAAGUCGGAAUCGCUAGUAAUCGCAGGUCAGCAUACUGCGGUGAAUACGUUCCCGGGUCUUGUACACACCGCCCGUCACACCAUGGGAGUGGGGGAUACCAGAA